rnacentral:rRNA from 1 species
CCUACGGGUGGCAGCAGUGGGGGAUAUUGCACAAUGGGGGGAACCCUGAUGCAGCGACGCCGCGUGGGUGAAGGAGUAUUUCGGUAUGUAAAGCCCUAUCGGCAGGGAAGAAUUUGGACGUUACCUAACUAACAAGCCCCGCCUAACUACGGGCCAGCAGCGGCGGUAAUACGUAGGGGGCAAGCGUAAUCCGGAUUCACUGGGUGAAAAGGGGGCGUAGACGGCAAGGCAAGCCUGGAGUGAAAGCCCGGGGCCCAACCCCGGGACUGCUCUGGGAACUGUAGGGCUGGAGUGCGGGAGGGGCAGGCGGAAUUCCUGGUGUAGCGGUGAAAUGCGUAGAGAUUAAGAGGAACACUCAUGGCGAAGGCGACCUGCUAGAACGUAACUGACGCUGAUGCGCGAAAGCGUGGGGAGCAAACAGGAUUAGAUACCCCGGUAGUC